rnacentral:piRNA from 1 species
UCUGAUGGUAGUUUGUGUUUCUGUGGG